GAUGAACGCUGGCGGCGUGCCUAAUACAUGCAAGUCGAGCGAACAGAUGAGGAGCUUGCUCCUCUGACGUUAGCGGCGGACGGGUGAGUAACACGUGGAUAACCUACCUAUAAGACGGGGAUAACUUCGGGAAACCGGAGCUAAUACCGGAUAAUAUAUCGAACCGCAUGGUUCAAUAGUGAAAGACGGUUUUGCUGUCACUUAUAGAUGGAUCCGCGCCGCAUUAGCUAGUUGGUAAGGUAACGGCUUACCAAGGCAACGAUGCGUAGCCGACCUGAGAGGGUGAUCGGCCACACUGGAACUGAGACACGGUCCAGACUCCUACGGGAGGCAGCAGUAGGGAAUCUUCCGCAAUGGGCGCAAGCCUGACGGAGCCACGCCGCGUGAGUGAUGAAGGUCUUCGGAUCGUAAAACUCUGUUAUUAGGGAAGAACAGAUGUGUAAGUAACUAUGCACGUCUUGACGGUACCUAAUCAGAAAGCCACGGCUAACUACGUG
rnacentral:rRNA from 1 species